rnacentral:rRNA from 1 species
AUUGAACGCUGGCGGCAGGCCUAACACAUGCAAGUCGAACGAGUGGCAGACGGGUGCGUAAUGUCUGGGACACUGCCUGAUGGAGGGGGAUGACUGCUGGAAACGGUAGCUGAUACCGCAUACCACAAGAUGUGCCCCACUGGGAUUAGCUAGUUGGUGGUGUAAAGGCUCACCAAGGCGACGAUCCCUAGCUGGUCUGAGAGGCUGACCAGCCACACUGGAACUGAGACACGGUCCAGACUCCUAGGGAGGCAGCAGUGGGGAAUAUUGCACAAUGGGCGCAAGCCUGAUGCAGCCAUGCCGCGUGUAUGAAGAAGGCCUUCGGGUUGUAAAGUACUGUCAGCGGGGAGGCGUUACCCGCAGAAGAAGCACCGGCUAACUCCGUGCCAGCAGCCGCGGUAAUUC